UACGGGGGGGGCAAGCGUUGUUCGGAAUUACUGGGCGUAAAGGGCGCGUAGGCGGCGCGGUAAGUCGGGUGUGAAAUCUCGGAGCUUAACUCCGAAACUGCAUUCGAUACUGCCGUGCUUGAGGACUGGAGAGGAGGCUGGAAUUUACGGUGUAGCGGUGAAAUGCGUAGAUAUCGUAAGGAAGACCAGUGGCGAAGGCGGGUCUCUGGACAGUUCCUGACGCUGAGGCACGAAGGCCAGGGGAGCAAACGGG
rnacentral:rRNA from 1 species